GGCAACCAAAAAGUAAGAAAAAUGUUUAAAUAUAUACAGCAGGAAAAACAAAUUAGAUAAUCUCACAAGACAAUAAAAUUCAGAAAAUUACGUACGAAGAAUAUUGUAUCAAAAGAAUAUUCCAAGCUUUUUAUAACGUUGAGAAAGACUGUUACUCUUGACAAAAAAAAAAAGAGAGAAAGACUCCUACCAAAAUAAGAUGGAACUAGAUAGGAAUCACUAAACGUAUUAAUUUAUAAAUAUAUAUAGACUUACAAGUUACUAGUGGAGACAGAGAAAAAAAGUCUGUUACUCCCUCUCUUUCAUAAUAAUUUAAUAAGUUUCAUUCUAGUUUUUUUUCUUGUUACAUAAAAAGUGCUACUUUACAAUUUCAAUGUAAAUAAUAUUUAUUUUCAGUUGAAAAUUAUUUGCAAACUGCAUUGGUUUUAUAAAUAAUUUUAUUUAUCUCAAGUGGUCAGGUCAGAAAGAUGUAAUUAAUAACAACUUACAUAUAUUUCUGCUAUUUUUUUAGUUUGUGUGAAAAAUGUCAAAAUGACAUUUAUUCAGAAACAUAGUAAAUAUUUAAUAUUUUUGAUAAGCUGUCAAGAUGACGAAAUUUUGGAAAUGAGACGAUCUCAAUUCUGUUUAAAAGCUAUUUGGGCUUUAAGUUUGAUGUAUAGUUAGUUAAGCAUGUUUUCUAUUUUUUUUUUUUUUGUGCAAAAGAACUAUUGCUUAUUUAUGCUGGACAAUCUAGUGGAUUUUUAAUAUUUUAUCCAUACAAAAUGAUAGACUUUAAUUAAUAGGGUGUCAACAAUUAAAAUUAAGAGGGUUCAGUUUUAUUUUUUAUUAGUGGUUUGGUUCACGCGAGAUAUUUGUUAAUUGUAUGCCACAAUGUUUUAAAUUUAAGUAUUUACUAGAUUUUCAUCCGCGCUUACAAAGCGCGAGUUUAUUUUUUAUUUUUUCAAUUGACAAAUAUUUAGUAAAUGUCAUAUUUUAUAUAUUUGUGUUUUAUUUUAUAAAAGACUUAAACUUUUUAUCUUUUUUUAUCGUGUUUCAUUAUAAGUGACUGUUUAUGUUUAAAAAAUUCAACUUUAUUUCUUUAAAGAAUUAAGUUGGUAUAACUCUGAUAAAUUAAUUUUAUUAUGUGGUUAAUAUUUUUGAUAAAAAAUUAUAUACUUUUAAUAAGAAUUUAUAUUUUUCAGUGAAAAAAAAUAAUUUUUUUUAUGAAUGCUUAAAUUAUAUUGAGAAAAGAAAAAAAAUUAAGAAUGGUUGAAAAAAAAAUUAGUUGAAUUUGGACUCAAUGGCCCAAAGAAAAAAAAAAUAUGAGAACUAGAUCUAAUUUUUUAAUCGGCCCAAAUGGCCCAAAAGAGAUCUGAUGUGGACAGUGGGCUGGAUCCGAAAAAAAUGACACAAUAUAGAUGUGUUAUUAAUAUUACUUGAUUGCCC
rnacentral:lncRNA from 1 species